rnacentral:rRNA from 1 species
AUACGGAGGGGGCUAGCGUUGUUCGGAAUCACUGGGCGUAAAGCGCACGUAGGCGGAUUGGUUAGUUGGGGGUGAAAUCCCGGGGCUCAACCCCGGAACUGCCUCCAAAACUGCCAGUCUCGAGUCCGGGAGAGGUGAGUGGAAUUCCGAGUGUAGAGGUGAAAUUCGUAGAUAUUCGGAGGAACACCAGUGGCGAAGGCGACUCACUGGCCCGGUACUGACGCUGAGGUGCGAAAGCGUGGGGAGCAAACAGGAUUAGAAACCCCGGUAGUCC